rnacentral:lncRNA from 1 species
CGAGACAAGCUCCAGUCAACAUUGUGCGCUAGUGGGUUGCGCAACGUGAGGUACUACAUUGUGCGUGGCGUGCUUAAAUAUCGUCAUUGGGUUUACCCUGCUGCUGAAGCUGUAAAAGGCUGCCAGUGCCCCGACUGACUGAUCACUGCCAUCACUAUGACAGAUCCCCCAAGACCUUUGCUGAAUUUGACGCAAUAAAUUUGACUAAAGGCAACCACA